rnacentral:rRNA from 1 species
CCUACGAGAGGCAGCAGUGAGGAAUAUUGGUCAAUGGCCGGAAGGCUGAACCAGCCAAGCCGCGUGAAGGACGAAGGUGCCAAGCAUUGUAAACUUCUUUUGUCAAGGGACAAAAUCAGGCUCGAGAGCCUGACCGAGGGUACUUGAAGAAAAAGCAUCGGCUAACUCCGUGCCAGCAGCCGCGGUAAUACGGCGUAUGCGAGCGUUAUACGGAUUUAUUGGGUUUAAAGGGUGCGUAGGCGGGCUGUUAAGUCAGCGGGAAAAGCCCGGGGCUCAACCCCGGCGAGCCGUUGAACCUGGCUGUCUUGAGAUGUCGAGAGGUAUGCGGAAUGCGCAGUGUAGCGGUGAAAUGCUUAGAUAGUGCGCAGAACUCCGAUUGCGAAGGCAGCAUACCGGCUGCGAUCUGACGCUGAGGCACGAAAGCGUGGGUAUCGAACAGGAUUAGAUACCCUUGUAGUC